rnacentral:rRNA from 1 species
GAUGAACGCUGGCGGCGUGCCUAAUACAUGCAAGUCGAGCGAACGGACGAGAAGCUUGCUUCUCUGAUGUUAGCGGCGGACGGGUGAGUAACACGUGAAUAACCUAGCUAUAAGACUGGGAUAACGGCGGGAAACCGUAGCUAAGACCGGAUAAUAUUUUGAACCGCAUGGUUGAAAAGUGAAAGACGUGCUGGCUGUCACUGAUAGAUGGAUCCGCGCUGCAUUAGCUAGGUGGUAAGGUAACGGCUUAGCAAGGCAACGAUGGCUAGCCGACCUGAGAGGGUGAUCGGCCACACUGGAACUGAGACACGGUCCAGACUCCUACGGGAGGCAGCAGUAGGGAAUCUUCCGCAAUGGGCGAAAGCCUGACGGAGCAACGCCGCGUGAGUGAUGAAGGUCUUCGGAUCGUAAAACUCUGUUAUUAGGGAAGAACAUAUGUGUAAGUAACUGUGCACAUCUUGACGGUACCUAAUCAGAAAGCCACGGCUAACUACGUG